rnacentral:lncRNA from 1 species
GGUGGAACAGUAAACUUGAUUUAUUGAAAAAAAAAAUCUAUUACAUUUAUUCCUUUAUUACACAGGUUUAAAAUAUUUAAAAAUAGCUCUUAUGGGCAUUACACUUAAAUUUUAUGACAUGUUUAUUGGACUUUGAAGAAAUGUACAAUACGGCAUUUGACACUAUAUUUUAAAAAGGGCCUUAUGUACUAAAAGUUGGGGGUUUUUUUCCAUAGGUUUUAUUUUUCUUAUCAACAUUUGUUCAAGUCAAUAUAUAUUAAGGGGAGGAGGGAAAUAAAAUUACACAAAAAGAAGGUCUGCAAAUACAAGUAGUAAUUUUAUUGCAAUAUACCGUAGCUAAGUGGUCUGGGGGGGAUCGGAACAGUUGGGAGCUCAGUACAAUUACAACACUGUGGAAUUCAACAGAGGAAAUUUUCAUUCUUUUUCUUUUUCUUCUUCUUCAAGCAGAGAAAUCAAAGGGAAAAAAAAAAAAAAGCUCCCUUGAUGAGAAAAUUGAGAACAGAAUCCCAUGACCUGGGCAGACACACAGGUGUGGACAAAUAUCAGAAAUAUCAGGAUAUGGCUUUGCUGGGAUGUGCAACCUUUCCUGCCCUUCCCGCUGUUGCCAAGGUGACUGAGAAGCUGAAUUCCUUAUUUAUUAUCCUAAAUUCCUUUUCACUGCUCUGCUGCCCGGAGUCUGCAGUUUUUAGGGUAGCACCUUUUGGGUUUUUUUAUUUUUUUAAUUUCCUUUAAGUGGGAGAGAGCACAGGAGAAGAAGGGAGAGGGAUGGACACGGCUCCUCCAAAAAGCACCGCUGGCAUCGCCGCUCCCUCCAGCACGGCUUUGCCUCCCUUCCUCGGAUGCUGCUGCUCUCAGUUUGGGCAGGAGGGGAGAAAAGACAUCAUAUAUAGGCUUUUUUCACAGUAAAUGUGAUGUCUUUUCCUUGGUGGUGAAAAAUCCCCCUUGAGCUGAAGAAUAAUAAUAAUAAUUUACAAAAAAACCCCACCUUGCAACAGUUAUUUUCCAGCUGAGAGACCUGAAGAAGGAAAACGGGCAAGGAGGCAAAAUAAAUGGGAAAAGAAGAGGGUGUCAGCACGUUGUGAGCCGUGGAAGGAAUUAAAAAAAAAAAAAAAAAAGUG